rnacentral:lncRNA from 1 species
ACUCUGCGCUGUCACUGCACUUGGGGGCUGGUCUUUCUUUCGUGGAGCUGCUGCCCAACUUCCAUUUUCAGUCUAGGUCUUCCUUUCCCACCUCUCUCCUGUCCUUUGUCAUUUCCUCCAUAUAGUCUCGACGUCAUCCAUUAAUUUAAAAUCAGAACACAAACCUCGUGUAGCUAUCAAGGGCCAUGGCAUUAUUGUAAAAUAUCUUCGUCGUUUGUAUGUCACCAGGUCUUACUAGUCUAGAAUUCUCGGGGCAGAAGUGGUCUCAGGCUGACCUUGCAGCAGCCUAAUUUUUUAGAAAAGAAACUGAAGCAAUGACCUAAAAUGGAGAGUUCCAGGGCACACAAAGCUUGGAGCUGGACGGGGUGGUGACACCCACCCUCUCCGCUCCCUCACCCCCGGGUCUUUGGAACCUGUAUCCAUGGCUUGUUUUUAGGCAGUCAACUCCGAGGGGAGAGAUUAGUGACGCUGUAUAGGUUAGGAUGGCAAAACUAACACAAUGAUACAGCAACUCUAUGAAGUUGAUUUCUAAAACUCCUUUGGCUCCUGUAAAUGAUGCAGGUUGUGUACGGUGUUGGGGAGCUGCCCUGGGGGCUCCAGGAAAUGAGGGUCCUGUUUUCUGGGCCAACUCCCUGUCCCCACCUGCCCACAUAAAGCAGGGCCUGUUGAAGCAGCUGUUCUCAAUUGACGCUGGUGAAACUGUUCUUGUUUUCUUUUCUUUUCUUUUUUAUUUUUAAGCCUGUAAGAGUGGAAUAUUACUGAGAUGCAGCCGGAUCCCUUCAGGCACAGUCCUGAUGCUUGCUCUGGGGUUGGAAAUUUUUUAGUAGAAUUUUAUCGCUGGAUGAAGGAAAACUGAGGCAGGUCACCUCGUUUCGCAAAUGGGGAUUUGGGGGCCUGGAGAUUUUGUGAUUUGCCUGAAAUGACACACAGCUAAUUAAUAGCAGAAGCUGUUCUUGAAUCCCAGAUUUUCCACGUCCUGCUGCCUCCCUUCCUCUCCAGCACUUCUGUCAGUCUCUCCAACUGCGGUUUUUCUAUAUCUGGGGGAGGACCUAGGACCUGCUCUGUACUCUCUGCUCUCUCCUUCACUCUAGAGCGAGUGAGAUGAACGUUAAGAGCCCUAAAAUGCUUUAAAUUAUUGUCAGUGUCACUGCAUUAAUU